UUUCUGUGGAUGAAAAGAGCAUUCUCUCUUUAUCCCUACGUAACAAAAUAGUGACACCCCUACAUCCUUCCACCUUGCUAAAGCCUCCAGCCCAUGGGAACAUCCAGGAGGAGGAGAAAAUUUGUGAAUAAGAAAUGUCACUUAGACCUGAAUGGAAGAGAUUUGGCAAAAAAUAUAGCAUGUGUCGUCAUCUUCAGGUGAUGCAGCACUUCCAGAAAAGACAAUCACAGAGGGCUGCUAGGCAAUUUGAAGAUGUCCGUGGGGAGAUGGUAUCAAAGACACUGCGAGCUCUAAAAUUAACAUCAAAAAUGAUGUAUCCAGAAGAAAGACUUUGUACCUACAACUGCUUUCACAGCUGCAAACCUUUUCUUUUAGAACAUUUUGUGUAUCUCAUGGCUAUGUUGUUUACAGCUUUUCUGCAAGUUUUUGUUUUUCCCCAUGGAAGCAACUGAAAAAAAAAAAACCCUUAAGUGUGCAUAUCUGUUCAAGUCUGGUUGGAUGUUACCCAGAAGCUGCUGGGUAAUGGGUUUUUGAGCCUAUGCAGUAAUUGUAACUCAUCACCAGUAUGUUAUGCAAGAUUGUGCAAAUAAUGGUUCCAUUUGAAGAAUUAUAGAAUUAUCCAAUCUUGUCAUCACUAAGUAAAAUUCUAAUUCAAAAUGCUGCAGUGAAUGGUAGCCCAG
rnacentral:lncRNA from 1 species